UUUAAUUUGAGAGUUUGAUCCUGGCUCAGGAUGAACGCUGGCGGCGUGCUUAACACAUGCAAGUCGAACGAGUUACAUUAGAGGAAG
rnacentral:rRNA from 1 species